rnacentral:rRNA from 2 species
GAAAGCAGGUCAUAGUGAUCCGGUGGUUCUGAAUGGAAGGGCCAUCGCUCAACGGAUAAAAGGUACUCCGGGGAUAACAGGCUGAUACCGCCCAAGAGUUCAUAUCGACGGCGGUGUUUGGCACCUCGAUGUCGGCUCAUCACAUCCUGGGGCUGAAGUAGGUCCCAAGGGUAUGGCUGUUCGCCAUUUAAAGUGGUACGCGAGCUGGGUUUAGAACGUCGUGAGACAGUUCGGUCCCUAUCUGCCGUGGGCGCUGGAGAACUGAGGGGGGCUGCUCCUAGUACGAGAGGACCGGAGUGGACGCAUCACUGGUGUUCGGGUUGUCAUGCCAAUGGCACUGCCCGGUAGCUAAAUGCGGAAGAGAUAAGUGCUGAAAGCAUCUAAGCACGAAACUUGCCCCGA